rnacentral:lncRNA from 1 species
CGUUAUGAUAAGUAUGUCUAGUGGAGGGGGCUUCCUACUGCCAACACUGCAAGACACCAUGUUGUCUGACACCAGGCCAUUAGGCUGUUCUUGUCUUGAGUCAAACCAUGUUGUCUGACACCAGGCCAUUAGGCUGUUCUUGUCUUGAGUCAAGACACCAUAUUGCCUGACACUGUUAGGUUCUACUCCGGUACGGUACUCGGAUACGGAGGCAGAGAAAAUCUCCGACCAGAUGUAUUCACCCAACAGGAUACCCUCAGCUGUAUAGCAGCACAGUGCUACAGAGCCAGUCUUAUCUACAGUACCUGGGGUGAAUGUCUCAGCAGGAUGGGACAGGCUGGACCAGAUGGCUGUUUGGCUCUGAUCUCCCUUCAGAUACCAUUCUGAUAUCUGCAUCUUGUCAUUCUCACUUCUCUCCCCAACUGCUACGUUGAAAGCCAUCAUCUCACUUCCCACAGAAACUAGCCAUUUGGACAGUAACUUAACCUUGACCCUAUCAUAACCCUGACAGAAGGUUUCUAUUGACCUUUAGGGAAUCAUUCAUGCAGUCCGAAGCAGUCCCCUAUCCCUAUGCCUAAAUACAAUGCACAUAGAUUCACCCAAUCCCAUAACAGGAUGAUUACUACGGAUUAUUCUAGAAAAGGUUAUAGUGUCAUAACGGCCUCCAACAGCACCGUUGAAUUUGUCUUACAAUGUUGGGAAAAGCUUUCUCCAAUAUUCUGCUAUUUUAUACUGAAAGAUACAUUUCUGUAGCUCAAAGAAAGGAAAACCGCUUAUGAUCGGCAGAUAUUUUAUUUUGAUUUAACCUUUAUUUAACUAGGCAAGUCAGUUAAGAACAAAUUCUUAUUUACAAUGACGGCCUACCAAAAGGCAAAAAGACCUGAGGGGACAGGGGCUGGGAUUAAAAAUAUCUUUCUAUUAUGGUUUUAUUUGGUAAAUCAAGUGAGGUUGGUUGCAUAAAACAAGUAUGAAAGACUAUUUUACUAUAUACAAAUUACACUUCCAUCAGAGGUUAAUGUUUGUGAAUAUAUAAAGCACAUUAUAUUUGCAUAUCAGUCAAUACAUUGACAGAUCUGUCUUGGGGAUUUAACCAGAAGCUAACUAAAUGCUAUUGUCGAUCCAUAGACUACAAUACUAGCGUUGUAGCCAUUAGAUUACGUGAAUGUGUCAUGCCUUGCUACCCAGGAACCAAACACAUAGAACAGAAGGGACCAGGGAAAAACAAACAAGGAUCAUUAUGUUCCAGAAGUGCUUUUAUCUUUAGACUGAGCAGCAGUUUUUCCAGGUCACUGGGUAGUUGUGUGUGGGUGGGAACAUACUUCUCACAGAGAGAAAAAGGGAGGGAGAGAAUCAGUCUGUCUCUCUAGCUCUGAACCAGGUAACAGGUUUCUGCUGCCUGUCUCUCUCUAGCUCUGAACCAGGUAACAGGUUUCUGCUGCCUGUCUCUCUAGCUCUGAACCAGGUAACAGGUUUCUGCUGCCUGUCUCUCUCUAGCUCUGAACCAGGUAACAGGUUUCUGCUGCCUGUCUCUCUAGCUCUGAACCAGGCAUCAGGUUUCUGCUGCCUGUCGGCCUGUCUCUCUAGCUCUGAACCAGGUAACAGGUUUCUGCUGCCUGUCGGCCUGUCUCUCUCUAGCUCUGAACCAGGCAUCAGAUUUCUGCUGCCUGUCUCUCUAGCUCUGAACCAGGCAACAGGUUUCUGCUGCCUGUCGGCCUGUCUCUCUCUAGCUCUGAACCAGGCAUCAGGUUUCUGCUGCCUGUCGGCCUGUCUCUCUCUAGCUCUGAACCAGGUAACAGGUUUAUGCUGCCUGUCGGCCUGUCUCUCUCUAGCUCUGAACCAGGCAUCAGGUUUCUGCUGCCUGUCGGCCUGUCUCUCUCUAGCUCUGAACCAGGCAUCAGGUUUCUGCUGCCUGUCUCUCUCUAGCUCUGAACCAGGUAACAGGUUUCUGCUGCCUGUGGGCCUGUCUCUCUCUAGCUCUGAACCAGGCAACAGGUUUCUGCUGCCUGUCGGCCUGUCUCUCUCUAGCUCUGAACCAGGCAUCAGGUUUCUGCUGCCUGUCGGCCUGUCUCUCUCUAGCUCUGAACCAGGCAUCAGGUUUCUGCUGCCUGUCGGCCUGUCUCUCUAGCUCUGAACCAGGCAUCAGGUUUCUGCUGCCUGUCGGCCUGUCUCUCUCUAGCUCUGAACCAGGCAUCAGGUUUCUGCUGCCUGUCGGCCUGUCUCUCUCUAGCUCUGAACCAGGCAUCAGGUUUCUGCUGCCUGUCUGCCUGUCUCUCUCUAGCUCUGAACCAGGCAACAGGUUUCUGCUGCCUGUCUCUCUAGCUCUGAACCAGGUAACAGGUUUCUGUUUUAUUCAACUCAUGAAUGAAUGUUCCCAUAUUGCUGCCUGGCAACCAGCCAGUAUCAGGAGAAAAGGGAACAUCUUGUUCCGUUAGUUAUGCUGCACAGAGUAGAACAGGCUGUGGCCAAAGUUAUGAAAUGAAGAAAGGAAGGGAGGGGAAAAUUAACAAUAGAAAAAGGAGAGUAGGAGCAGAGGGUGUAUAACUGGACUGUGUGUUUGAUUGAAUUCAUAUCUUAUACCAAUGUAUGGAAUAAUAUAAAGGGAGGGUCUUUUCAAUCCAUAUCGCGGAAGUUCAGCGUUACGUCACGAUUUAAAUUUAAAAGGCAAUGUUAGUGGAGAGUGCAUUCACGGUAAACGCUGUAAUAUGUCGACUCAAUCAGAAAUGACCUUUAAAUUUAUAGCGUGCAAUCUGUAACGCCUCAGCGAAUAGAGAUUGAAUAAAGGCUGAAGUCUGUUUUUAGAGAGCGCUUGCAGAAAUGGCAUUUUUCAGGGUAGGAUAGGGAGUGACGCAAAAUGUAAAACAUGUUCGACACCGACUGGCUUGAUCAAGUCCAUAUUUCUGUGCUGAGAGGACAGACAGAGUGGAAGAUGUCUUCUCCCUCGUCUUCCUCUUGGAGUCUUUCCCUCUUUGUGUUUCAACCUGUUGAUUGGUGGUGGUGUGACUCUACUGGACCGCUCUGUUGGCUGGGGGGCGCUGGACCGGGGGCGCUGGACCCGGGGCGCUGGACCGGGGACGCUGGACCGGGGGCGCUGGACCGGGAGCUGGACCGGGGAGCUGGACCGGGGAGCUGGACUGGGGGGCGCUGGACCGGGGUGCUGGACGGGAGCACUGGGCGAGGGCGGUGGGCUGGACGGGGCGGUGGGCUGGACGGGGCGGUGCAUGGUUUGGGGCUCCCCCAGAACCACACUGACCCACCUUCCUUUAGAUAUUCCCC